UGAACUAUACUAGAAAUACAUCAAAAGGAACAUGUAGGGUAUUGUCCUCGAAUCUAUGAGGACUCACCAAGUCUUCAUCUCCAACACUUAGAAACCUAUCAAGUAGCCAUGACAUGUCACCAUCUCCAAAUCCCUACACUUUAGUCAAAAAGGGAAAGAAAGGGGUUAGCACAAUUAAGUACUAAGUAUGGAGACCAUGCACAAACAUGCUAAAAAGGACAUUUUCAAAGAAUAAAUGCUUUCAUAUCAAUUUGAUAAAACCUUUCCUUUACAAAUAUAAGAGACAUAAUACAAGUCAACAUUAACAUAUAAGACCAUAGCCAACCAUACAUAUACUCAACAUAAAUCCACAUACAACCCAUGCUUAACUUUAAAAGAACACAUGCCAUUUCAUUACCAUAGGACCUCUACCUAAUAUAACCUUAAGACACACAUGAGUAAGACAAGAAGUGACCGCCCAUACAACCUCUUCAAGCACACUUAAGUGUUCCCCAAGAUUACCUUAGAUAAGGACAUUUCCUUUACAACAUAACAUCAAUAGACAAACCUUCUUUAAGAAACCAUUUUGGAGACAUUCAAGCACAUAAGGGGACUUUCACAUAAUAGUCGUUAGACUUAGGGAACUCACUUUAGUAUCUUCAAAGCCUACUCGUGCCAUGUGUAGAUAGCAUCCCAUACUACUACCUACACGUUGUAGAACCUAUCCAAUAACUAGAGUGCACAUCCCACAUGAUGGGAAUAGGCAUAACCGACAUAGACCAUACUAGCUAGGUAUGGAAUCCGGAGUCUAUCCUACUCCGUGGAGGUUGUUCUACUUGCCAAAGGUAGAACUAGUAAGCAACCCAUGUAGGCACAUGGUUAAGGGAUGUCCAAGGAAGUUCAUUGUGCCUAAUCUCAUACUCAACUAGGCCACCUUCCUAACCACAUCCACUCGGUGCUAGCCUUGUUUCCCAUAGAGUAUUCAAUCACAUAUGUACUUAGAGAAGGUUCCUUUUCUAGUUCAACCAACUCAUAGUACCUCUUCCCAAGAAAGGCCCCAUUUCUUAGUCAUGGCCAAUCAAGGUUCAUAAGGAUAGCUCAUUAAAUCCCCCUAGAAGGGUGCCUUAGGCCUACCGAUCCAAGGUUCAUCAUUUCACACAUGAGAAGGGCUACCACCAUUAGGUCUACCGAUUUCAUGGUUUUACAUUUACUUAGGAAAGCUAGACUUAUGAAAGGGCACCAUUUCUUAGUUUUGCCCAUUUCACACAUUCAUGCAUUCAAGACUUUAAGUAACAAGGAGGGACACUUUAGUCUACCAACCAAGUCACAACAUUUUCAUUUAAGGAUACUUCAUAAUCCAACAUCAUUUCAUAUAUACAUCAUGAGAAAUCAUACUUUAACUCACAAUGCUAUCCACUUUACAUAGGAUCAUCACAAGAUCACAUAAAACUCAUUCACACCAUUCCUUCACAUAUAGCUUCACAUAAAACUCAUUCACAUCAUUCCUUCACAUAUAGCUUCACAUAAAACUCAUUCACAUCAUUCCUUCACAUAUAGCUUCACAUAAAACUCAUUCACAUCAUUCCUUCACAUAUAGCUUCACAUAAAACUCAUUCACAUCAUUCCUUCACAUAUAGCUUCACAUAAAACUCAUUCACAUCAUUCCUUCACAUAUAGCUUCACAUAAAACUCAUUCACAUCAUUCCUUCACAUAUAGCUUCACAUAAAACUCAUUCACAUCAUUCCUUCACAUAUAGCUUCACAUAAAACUCAUUCACAUCAUUCCUUCACAUAUAGCUUCACAUAAAACUCAUUCACAUCAUUCCUUCACAUAUUUAUACGAGUUAGCUUUCCAAAUAAUAUUUAUUCACUGCAAACUAAGUUCUAGAGCAAGAGAUAUGCCUAAAAUACCAAACACUAUCCAGCUCAAAAACAGGUUUCGUCACUUACAUCCUAAAAGACUGCCAUAUCCUAUCGAUUCAUAUUCAACAAGGCUUCUAAUGUAUCAAGAAGAGACACCUAAGUCUACCAAGUCAAGACACACAUCACAUUAUAAAGAUCCUUCACAUUCCAUCAUCAUCACAUAUGAACAAUAAUAGAGGACACACUUUCAAUCACAAUACAAUAACACUUUAAAUAAGAUCACCUUGAGAUCACAUGAACACCUUUAUAUUCACAACAUGAUUGCCUUUACUUCAUUUGAUUCUCAUUCAAGUCCUUCACAUCACAUUCACAUAUAUGAUAUCAUGUCAACACUUCAAUUCCUCAUAUAAUGCCUCCAAGGCCAUAAACACAAUACAUUCAAUAAGUAAACACCUCCACCAUAAGUGGAUCACACAUCAAUCUAUCAAAAUUCUAUAUCAAUUCUACAUUAACAAUGAAGUUAGGCCAACUUACCCUUUUCCAAAGCCACAAUCAUCAUUCCUCAACUCUCCAAUAAUUCACAAUAGAUAAACAUAGAUAAUAAUAGAAAUCAACUAUUCAACUCAAUUUAAGCAUAAUUCUAUCAUCAUUCAAUCACAAACAAUAAUCCCACUUCAUAUGCCAACUUUUGGAAAUUUGCAAAGACAUGGGUUCAUGGAAUUUCCUUUCUUAAAACCAUCAAUAAUAACAUAAAUCAUCAUAAAAAAACAUUUAAUGCAAGAACCCAUGCUAGAAUCAAAAUUAGGAUUUUGAGUUUUUGAACAACUUUUGAAAUCUUUUGGAUUGACUCUUUGAUUGAAGAAGGAAUCAAAGAUGAAGAGUCCCCAUACCUUAUUCUUCAAGAACCAAACGAAAUUAGAGAAGAAAUCAGCAGCCACCAUCCACCCUAGCUCCAUCUUUCACCUUGAGCUUCCAUGGGGUUUUGAGAGAGUUUUUG
rnacentral:lncRNA from 1 species